GAUGAACGCUGGCGGCGUGCCUAAUACAUGCAAGUAGAACGCUGAAGGAGGAGCUUGCUCUUCUGGAUGAUUUGCGAACGGGUGAGUAACGCGUAGGUAACCUGCCUGGUAGCGGGGGAUAACUAUUGGAAACGAUAGCUAAUACCGCAUGACAACAGUUAUUGCAUGAUAACUGUGUAAAAGGGGCAACUGCUCCACUACCAGAUGGACCUGCGUUGUAUUAGCUAGUUGGUGAGGUAACGGCUCACCAAGGCGACGAUACAUAGCCGACCUGAGAGGGUGAUCGGCCACACUGGGAAUGAGACACGGCCCAGACUCCUACGGGAGGCAGCAGUAGGGAAUCUUCGGCAAUGGACGGAAGUCUGACCGAGCAACGCCGCGUGAGUGAAGAAGGUUUUCGGAUCGUAAAGCUCUGUUGUAAGAGAAGAACGAGUGUGAGAGUGGAAAGUUCACACUGUGACGGUAUCUUACCAGAAAGGGACGGCUAACUACGUG
rnacentral:rRNA from 1 species